rnacentral:tRNA from 1 species
GCCGGAGUGGCGGAAUGGCAGACGCAGCGGCCUCAAAAGCCGCCGAGGGCAACCUCAUGUGGGUUCAAGUCCCUUCUCCGGCA